rnacentral:rRNA from 2 species
GCCUACGGGAGGCAGCAGUAGGGAAUCUUCCGCAAUGGACGAAAGUCUGACGGAGCAACGCCGCGUGAGUGAUGAAGGCUUUCGGGUCGUAAAACUCUGUUGUUAGGGAAGAACAAGUACAAGAGUAACUGC